UACGUAGGGUGCAAGCGUUAAUCGGAAUUACUGGGCGUAAAGCGUGCGUAGGCGGAUCGUUAAGUCGGGGGUGAAAUCCUGGAGCUCAACUCCAGAACUGCCUUCGAUACUGGCGAUCUAGAGUCCGGAAGAGGUGAGUGGAACUCCUAGUGUAGAGGUGGAAUUCGUAGAUAUUAGGAAGAACACCAGUGGCGAAGGCGGCUCACUGGUCCGGUACUGACGCUGAGGUGCGAAAGCGUGGGGAGCAAACAGG
rnacentral:rRNA from 1 species